rnacentral:rRNA from 2 species
AACUGGGAUUAGAUACCCCACUAUGCCUAGCCGUAAACAUUGAUAGUGCAUUACAUCUGCUAUCCGCCCGGGUACUACGAGCAUCAGCUUAAAACCCAAAGGACUUGGCGGUGCUUUAGAUCCACCUAGAGGAGCCUGUUCUAGAACCGAUAAUCCCCGUUAAACCUCACCUUUCCUUGUUUUCCCAGCCUAUAUACCGCCGUCGUCAGCUUACCCUGCGAAGGACCAACAGUAAGCAAAAUUGGCACAGCCCAGAACGCCAGGUCGAGGUGUAGCCUAUGGAAAGGGAAGAAAUGGGCUACAUUCAAUAUUACAAUGAAUACGAAUGGGGGGUUGAAACACCCCCCUGAAGGAGGAUUUAGCAGUAAGCAGGAAAUAGAGAGUCCCGCUGAAAUUGGCCCUGAAGCGCGUACACACCGCCCGUCACUCUCCC